CAAACAAGUAUCUGUAAGUGGGUUGAAGGAUCCAGUAUUGCCACAGCUGCAGUGUAGGUCGAAACUGCGGCUUGGAUCUGAUCCCUGGCCCGGGAACUCCAUAUGGUGGGGGCAAAAAGAAUAAAAAAAGUCUUACCAGAUGCUAGGCUUGUGCUAAGGUUGUUUGCAUCCAUCCUUUCAUUUAAUUUUCCAUAUAAACUCUCAGAUGGGAUGAUUGGCUAAACCCCAGGCUCCAAACGAUAAAAGUAAUUUAACCCACAGCAAGUAAUAUAUUUAUUAUGUGCCAAAUACAGGUUUAAGUGUGGUACUUGGAUUAACCUAUUUAAUCUACACAACCAUCUGUGAGUUAAGUAUUCUAUGAGUUAAGUAUUAAUCAUCGGCUUUUUAUAAGAUGAGGAAACCAGACCCAGAGAGGUUGAGUAACUUGCCCUGGGUCACCCAGCUAAUAAGCAGGGAAUCCAAAUUUGAACCCAGGCAGACCAGCUUUAUAGCUCAUGACCAAGAGGGCUGUAACUUUUCCCUCAGCUUAACUAAACUUUAGCUAGACUUCUUCCUGACUCUAAACUGCUGUCCUCCCUCUCACCCCAGCCCUUGGAAUCCAGGGCUGGGGUGAGAAUCCAGAUGGCCUAACCUCCUGUUUCUUAGAGCAUUUACUUUAGAAAACUUGUCAUCAUAAAUUUUUUCUGCCCUUUUGAGAUGUAUAUAAAUCUCUUUAAAAACCUCUCGCCAGGAGUUCCUGUUGUGGCACAGCGGAAACGAGUCUGACUAAUAACCAUGAGGUUGCUGGUUCGAUCCCUGGCCUUGCUCUGUGGGUCAGGAACCUAGUGUUGCCGUGAGUUGUGGUGUAGGUUGCAGACAUGGCUCGGAUCUGGUGUGGUUGUGGCUAUGGUGUAGGCCAGCAGCUGUAGCUAUGAUUUGACCCCUAGCCUGGGAACCUCCAUAUGCUGUGGGUGCAGCCCUAAAAAGCCAAACACAAAAAACAAACAAACAAACAAAAAAAACCUUACAAAAGACAAAAAACAAACCUCUUGCCAGUUUUACAACCCAGGCAAUGUCUUUCUUAAGGACCUGGGAACCGUCUCUUUGAAAUAGAAACAUCCAAGGAGAUAGUACCUCCAUCUCCCGUUUAUCCUAGAAGCCUGACCUCAGUGGGGGUCUUUCUCCAAAUUGUGAAACUAUCCCUUUUCCCCAAGAUACAAGAAAAUUUCAAAACUUUGCUUUAGGUGAAGCCAGUUAGCAAACACAGAUGACCUACGACCUCCACUCCCGAGCCCACUUCUAAAACCCAACUGCCUUGUGUUUCACCGAGUUGAGCUCAGACUGAGCUCUGGCCUCUGUCUCCCGUUGGAAUACCCUUGAAUGAGGCUUCUUGCCUGUUUAACGUUGUCCCAUGUGGUUUAUGCUUUGACAGGCAGGACCUGCUCCCAGUGUAUUACACAAUUUCAGGCAGCUCUGAGCCUGCGUUUUGCCAUCUUGGUGGUGUAAGUCAGAGGACUCCCGGGCUUCUGAGGGUGUUGAGGCUGGAAAUCCUCCUUUUAUCACCUCAUCUCAGUGGGGGGGCUUUUUUUCUAAUCUUUGGAGGAAGUUCCAAGGUGGGGAAAAGACUCUAGGAUUCCCCUAGGGCUUUGGGCAUGAAGGUUCCUCUCACGUCUCCCCAGCAUGGCCUGACCCCCUCCAUCCUGCUUAGGCCUGCAGUGGGUGACAACGCACAGUCCUCGAGCUGAAACAGGUGUUGAAGGAUCAUUUUUUUUUUUUUCUUUUUUAGGGCCACACCUGCGGCAUAUGGAAGAUCCAAGGCUAGGGGUCUAAUCAGGGCUGCAGCUGCCAGCCUACACCACAGCCACAGCGAUGCCAUAUCUGAACAAAUCUGCAGCUUACACCACAGCUUAAAGCAAUGCCAGAUCCUUAACCCACUGAGUAAGGCCAGGGAUCGAACCUGCAUCUUCAUGGAUACUAGUUGGGUUCUUAACCCACUAAGCCACACUGGGAACUUUAACUCUUAUUUUAAAAAACAUAAAUGGCUCAUGGCUUUUACACAGAUACAAGAUGAACCCUUGUCAAAGAUUUUACUUAACUCACUCAUGAGUGAGGGAGCCUGCAAAAUGUUACAGCCAGUUCAAAGGAGAAUUCCAAGAGCUCGUGCAUACAGGACAUCAGGAAUGCUGAAACAAAUUCAUGAGUGGAUGUUGAACUGGUCAAUAUCCAGGUGGAAAUACUCAAGUGUAUUCCACCAGGCAGGGAUCUUUUGCAUUGCUCUCAGGUUACCGUGGGUCUGGUAUUACUGUCACAGUUUAAGACAGUGAAAAGUGGAGCUAACCCAGAACAGUGUGCUAGGCAGGACACCCAGUAAUCCCUCCUGCCCAUUACAAAGGCUUUCACCUCUGCAGGUCCCCAGUGUGGUUGGGGAGGCCCAGACACAGUUCUGAUACGGUGCCCUGGGAGUUGGGGAAGGGCGUGUUGAAAGCACAGGUGAGGGACAGAGGAAGGAUUUCCUCCAGGUGUGGGUCUCAUAUUGCUGAUGGUGCCCCUCUUACCCCCACUUCUGUGUAAUCACUGAGUGUUGUCCAUUUCAGAGACUGCAUUAGCUUCCCAGGGCUGCUGAGGCAAAAUACCACAAACUGCGUAGCUUAAAACCACAGAAAUGUAUUGACUUACAAUGCAGGAGGCCAGAAGUCCAAAAGCAAGGUGUUGGGAGGUGCCCCACUCCCUUCACAGCCACUGGGGGAGGAGCCUACCUUGCCUCUUCUGGCUUCUGGGAGCCCGAGGAGCUCCUUGGCUUCUUCAGCCUCCAGUCUCUGCCUCCUUCCUCCCAUGGGAGAUCUCCCUGUGUGUCUGUGUUCACAUUUCCCUCUUCUUACAAAGUCAUAUUAGAGAUUAGUCAUCUUACAUUGAUUAAAUCUGCAAGACUUUAUUACCAAAUAAGAUCAUAUUCACUGAUCCUGGGGGUCAGGACUUCAACAUACCUUUUUAAAUUUUUUUUUUUUAUUUGAGGGGGACACAGUUUCCUGCUUAAAAAAGGACCAGUAUAGAAUAAAGAUUUAGAGACCAGAUGACCAGGUUUAAAUCCCACCCAUUACUGCUUUGUAUGUACCUUUUUUCACUCUGAGUGAAAGCGAGCUAGGAAAUUCUCUCCAAGCCUCAGUUUCUUCAUCUCUUAAUUGGGAUUAUAAUGGGAAAUUUUAGUCUACCAUUAGGACUCUUGUGAGAUGUGAAGUUGAUAACAUAAGUCAGGUACAGGGCCUGGCAUAUAGUAAGUGCUUGCUCAGAAUAUCUGGAACCAGGACUUCCCGUUGUAGCUCAGUGGUAAUGAACCCGACUAGUAUCCAUGAGGACGUGGGUUUGAUCCCUGGCCUCACUCAGUGGGUUAAAGAUCCAGCGUUGCUGUUAGCUGUGGUGUAGGUCACAGAUGCAGCUCGGAUCCUGCGUUGCUGUGGCUGUGACGUAGGCCGGCAGUUACAUCUCCAGUUCAACCCCUAGCCUGGGAACCUCCGUAUGCUGUGGGUGAGGCCCUAAAAAGACAAAAACAAAAACAAAAAAAAUCCAGAACCAGGAAGAUAGUACAGUUAACUCAAAACCAUAUAGAUGAGAUGGAAGUAUGUUUAGUCAGUGAAAAGAAAGAAUGGUGAAAUAAGAUUGAAAAAAUGAUAUUCAAAAUGCAUUCUUGUCUUACAGGGUGAUAAAACCUUAAUUUCUUUUUGUUUACUGGGCAAAAAUCAUUCCAUCAGAAAUUAUUUGUGGGAAUUUCUGCUGUGGUGCAGUGGGUUAAGGAUCUGGCAUUGUCUCUGAGGUGUCACUGGUUCCAUCCUCGGCUGGGGAACUUCUGUUUGCCAGUGGGUGCAGCCAGACAACAAACAAAACAAAUUAUUUUCAACUUUAUCAGACAAAAAUUGAUUGCAACUAAAUCUUCUUAUGAUUUGCAAAAAACAUUUGCAAAGUUAAUAUCCAAACUUUAUAGAGUUUGGCCCUUAAUCAGUGAUAAAUAAUAAGGCAUAUUCCUAUUACCCCAGAGAAUCAGAUAAUCCCUGAGUGGGUCUGUUUCCCUUUUAUCUUAUUUCUAAGUUUUAAGUCAUCGAGGCCCAAUGGAAGUAUAUUUCGAGACACAUUUUUUUAAAUGGCCCUGCUCAUGGUAUAUGGAAAUUUCUGGGCUAGGGAUUGAAUCCAAGCCACAGCUGCUGACCUAUGCCACAGCUGCGGCAGUGCUGGAUCCUUUAACUGACUGCACUGGGCAGGGGAUUGAGCCCACCCCUCUGCAGCAAAUGAGAGAGCCACUGCAAUGGGAUUCUUAACCCACUGUGCCAUGGCAGGAACUCCAAGAUAUAUUUAAAUUAUGUAUAUGACUAAAAACUUUCUGGUAUCCACAUUAAACAAGUAAAAAGGGAAGAAGUAAUUAAUAAUAUACAAAUAUUAUAAAAAUAUAUAGUCAGUAUGAAAGCAUUAUUAAUAAGAUAUUUGGGGAGUUGUACUGAGUUUUUGGAAUCCCAUGUGUAUUUUAUGCUUUUAUUAAUUUCAGUUUGCACUAGCCUCAUUGCAAGUGCUCACUAUCUAGAGCUAUAGAACUUUGUAAAAAUGGAAAUAUACUGUAUAAGCUCUUUUAUGUAAGGCUUCUUUCACUUAACAGAAUGUGGUAUAUCACAGGUUGUUUAUUCAUUCUUCUGUCAAUGGAUACCUGUUUCCAGUUUGGGGCUAUUACGAAUAAAGCUGGUAUAAGUAUUCUUGUAUACUUGUUUUUAUGAAAAUUGGCUCUCGUUUCUCUUGCGUAAAUACUGAGUGGAAUUGCUGUGUCAAAGGAUUGAGGUAUAUUUAGUUUAAUAAGAAACUAGCAGACCCUUUCAAAACCGAUUAUCUGGAGUUCCCUGUGGCACAGUAGGUUAAGGAUCUGGCAUUGUCACAGCAGUGGCUUGAGUCACUGCUGUGGAACAGGAUUGACCAUCCCUGGCCCAGGAACUUCCACAUGCUGU
rnacentral:lncRNA from 1 species